GACGAACGCUGGCGGCGUGCUUAACACAUGCCAGUCGAACGGAAAGGCCCUGCUUUUGUGGGGUGCUCGAGUGGCGAACGGGUGAGUAACACGUGAGUAACCUGCCCUUGACUUUGGGAUAACUUCAGGAAACUGGGGCUAAUACCGGAUAGGAGCUCCUGCUGCAUGGUGGGGGUUGGAAAGUUUCGGCGGUUGGGGAUGGACUCGCGGCUUAUCAGCUUGUUGGUGGGGUAGUGGCUUAACAAGGCUUUGACGGGUAGCCGGCCUGAGAGGGUGACCGGCCACAUUGGGACUGAGAUACGGCCCAGACUCCUACGGGAGGCAGCAGUGGGAAAUAUUGCACAAUGGGCGGAAGCCUGAUGCAGCAACGCCGCGUGCGGGAUGACGGCCUUCGGGUUGUAAACCGCUUUCGCCUGUGACGAAGCGUGAGUGACGGUAAUGGGUAAAGAAGCACCGGCUAACUACGUG
rnacentral:rRNA from 1 species